UACGAAGGGGGCUAGCGUUGCUCGGAAUCACUGGGCGUAAAGCGCACGUAGGCGGACUCUUAAGUCGGUGGUGAAAUCCUGGAGCUCAACUCCAGAACUGCCUUCGAUACUGCGGGUCUCGAGUCCGGGAGAGGUGAGUGGAAUUCCUAGUGUAGAGGUGAAAUUCGUAGAUAUUAGGAAGAACACCAGUGGCGAAGGCGGCUCACUGGCCCGGUACUGACGCUGAGGCGCGAAAGCGUGGGGAGCAACAGG
rnacentral:rRNA from 1 species